AGGAAAGUACAAUUUUGCAGUGUAGAAAAAAUUCUAUUUUCACAUAAUUUAUCAUUUGAUUUAGGUCAGAGAAUUUUCUAAUUAAUUCCCAAUCAAUUUUUGGCAAAGUGUGUUGCUUCUACUUCCAGAAGAUAAAAUGCAUAGCAAGAAUAAGCUACUUCUGAAUUUUUUUUCAUGUUCUUGUAUUCUAUUACCUUAGCCCUGCAUUUAUCUCUAGGUGUUCAUGUACAAUGAUCUAAAUGAAAUUUUUGAGAUGAAUAUUAGUUUCUCACAACAUACCAACAUCUGUUCCCAGUCGAGGUAAUAGGGUUAUGGUCAACGGGAUACAAACAACUCAUGGAAACAUUCAUGUUGAGAAAGAGCCUUCUGGGAAAAUUGAAAGAUAGAUUGUCGUUUCCUAGGUGAGUGCCUUCCAUUCGAGGCUGGGGAAGAAAUGCUACUGGAAGGCAACACAGAUUAGGGCUGAUAGGAAGAUAAAUCUCAGGCACAAUCUCAGAUCAGCCACCCACAGAGCUUUGUUUAUUUUUAGAAUGGAUUGUUCAGAUAUGGUGUUCCUUACGUGGAAAAAUGCAUGCUUUUGUGUCCAGUGGCAUAUUGCUUAUCAUUUUCAACGUAAAACCCAAGUAAGGGUGAGGCAGUGUAUUCCCGGACGCUCUGGUCUCAGACACAUCGUUUUCUUCUGUCCUGAGAUAAACACCAUCGGAAUGUUUGCUGCAUCACUUUUCCCCAAACUCCUCACUUUCUGACAGAGAUCACAAACUAUGCCAGAGGAUAUUGUAAGUCCUGCUUUCCCUCCUUAUCCGUGGGGGAUACGUUCGAAGACCUCCAGCCUGAAACCGCCGAUAGUACUCAAUCCUAUAUGUACUAUGUUUUUUCCUAUACAUACCUCUGAUAAUGUUUAAUUUACAAAUUAGGCACGUAAGAGAUUAACAAUAACUAAUAAGAAAACAGAACAAUCAUAAAAAUUACUGUAAUAAAAGCCAUGUGAAUAUGGCCUCUCGAUCA
rnacentral:lncRNA from 1 species